GUGGGGAAUCUUGCGCAAUGGGCGAAAGCCUGACGCAGCCAUGCCGCGUGAAUGAUGAAGGUCUUAGGAUUGUAAAAUUCUUUCACCGGGGACGAUAAUGACGGUACCCGGAGAAGAAGCUCCGGCUAACUUCGUGCCAGCAGCCGCGGUAAUACGAAGGGGGCUAGCGUUGCUCGGAAUUACUGGGCGUAAAGGGCGCGUAGGCGGACAGCUUAGUCAGAGGUGAAAGCCCAGGGCUCAACCUUGGAAUUGCCUUUGAUACUGGCUGGCUUGAGUGUGGGAGAGGUGAGUGGAACUCCGAGUGUAGAGGUGAAAUUCGUAGAUAUUCGGAAGAACACCAGUGGCGAAGGCGACUCACUGGCCCAAUACUGACGCUGAGGCGCGAAAGCGUGGGGAGCAAACAGGAUUAGAAACCCGUGUAGUCC
rnacentral:rRNA from 1 species